UCGUAUAUAUGGUUUUGAAUAUAAAUAUCUCUGGUCCAGGGUUUCCAAUCACAGCACUGCUCCUGUGUGACCCAGGCAGCCCACUUAACCUUCCUGAACCACAGGCUCUCCAUAAGUAAAAAGUGAGACAAUAAAAUAAAUAUCUCAUAGAUGAGUUGUAAUAAUUCAAUGAGUAUCUGUUUAAAGCCUCUGGCAAAUUAAUUUCCAGCUCUUUCUGUCCCAACAACAAGAAAGGACAUUAACGCUCCUAGGAGCCUCUUCUCAAAGUUGUAGCUACUCCAAAGAAGCAAAUAAUAGGAAUGUAUAAAGGGAAGGAUUAUGUCAGCAAAACACUUUUUAAAAUUCUUAUGUGGUUAAUGAUGGUAGAAGAGAAACAAACAUAUAUAUAGAAUUUUCUAUGAGAAUGGGCUAUUGCUUUGGCUAAGACUCAAUUACCCUGGUAAAACUGUCCUCUUUUCUUUUCGUAGACACAUCCCACCCAAACUGCAUUCUUGUCUAGCGUGGAUCUGCACACUCACUGUUCCUACCAGCUCAUGUUGCCAGAGGCUAUUGCCAUCGUCUGCUCACCAAAGCAUAAGGACACUGGCAUCUUCAGGCUCACCAAUGCUGGCAUGCUUGAGGUUUCUGCUUGUAAGAAGAAGGGCUUUCAUCCACACACCAAGGACCCCAGGCUGUUCAGUAUAUGCAGACAUGUGUUGGUAAAAGACAUAAAAGUAGUUGUGUUGGACCUGAGGUGAUAUGUCCUGAAUAUAAACACCAUCAACACCAGACACCUGCCCAUGGACAUGUGGUUGCUGGAUUUUCUUAAGAUGUUUCCAGAAAUGACUGAUAUUUUAUAUUUAUACAUUUUAGAUCAGAAAGUUUGAUAUUUAUUGCUUUUGCAUAUUUUGAAGGUUUUUUUUUGGGGGGGUUGCUCUGUCUCGAGAGGUCACAAGGUGUUAAAUCAAUACCUAUUAAUGUACCCCAAUACUAUGACUAUAUAAUAAAUUGUGCUGCAAACAAUG